ACCUGGCUAGCUCAGUCGGUAGAGGAUGAGACUCUUAAUCUCAGCGUCGUGGGUUAGAGCACCACGUUGGGCG
rnacentral:tRNA from 1 species